GACGAACGCUGGCGGCGUGCUUAACACAUGCCAGUCGAACGGAAAGGCCCUGCUUUUGUGGGGUGCUCGAGUGGCGAACGGGUGAGUAACACGUGAGUAACCUGCCCUUGACUUUGGGAUAACUUCAGGAAACUGGGGCUAAUACCGGAUAGGAGCUCCUGCUGCAUGGGGGGGGUUGGAAAGUUUCGGCGGUUGGGGAUAGACGCGCGGCUUAUCAGCUUGUUGGUGGGGUAGUGGCUUACCAAGUCUUCGACGGAUAGCCGGCCUGAGAGGGUGACCGGCCACCAUGGGACUGCGGUACGGACCAGACUCCUACGGGAGGCAACAGUGGGGAAUAUUGCACAGUGGGCGGGAGCCUGAUGCGGCAACGCCGCGUGCGGGAUGACGGCCUUCGGGUUGUAAACCGCUUUCGCCUGUGACGAAGCGUGAGUGACGGUAAUGGGUAAAGAAGCACCGGCUAACUACGUG
rnacentral:rRNA from 1 species